CCGAGCGACGCCGCGUGGGUGAUGAAGAUCCUCGGAUCGUAAAACCCUGUCAGGUGGGAUGAAAUACCAUUCGGUUAAUACCCGAGUGGCUUGACAGUACCACCAGAGGAAGCUCCGGCCAACUCCGUGCCAGCAGCCGCGGUAACACGGGGGGAGCAAGCGUUGUUCGGAUUCAUUGGGCGUAAAGAGCUCGUAGGCGGCUCUGUAAGUCGGAAGUGAAAGACCACGGCUCAACCGUGGAAACGCUUUCGAAACUGCGGAGCUUGAGGCUGGGAGAGGAGAUUGGAAUUCCUGGUGUAGCGGUGAAAUGCGUAGAUAUCAGGAGGAACACCCGUGGCGAAGGCGAAUCUCUGGACCGGUUCUGACGCUGAGGAGCGAAAGCUAGGGGAGCAAACAGGAUUAGAUACCCUGGUAGUCCUAGCUGUAAACGAUGGGCACUAGGUGUGGGGGGAUCGACCCCUUCCGUGCCGCAGUUAACGCAUUAAGUGCCCCGCCUGGGGAGUACGACCGCAAGGUUG
rnacentral:rRNA from 2 species